ACCCGCUGAACUUAAGCAUAUUACUAAGCGGAGGAAAAGAAAUCAACGAAGAUUGCCUCAGUAGCGGCGAGUGAAGCGGCAAUAGCUCAAGUUUAGAAUCUGUAGUCGUUUCGGCUACCGAAUUGUAAUCUAAAGGGGUUAACAAAAGGGGAAGUCGAAGCAUAAGUUCCUUGGAAAAGGACGUCAAAGAGGGUGAAAACCCCGUAUGCAGCUUUGACUGAACUGAAUGUUGGCUUUCUAAGAGUCGGGUUGUUUGGGAUUGCAGCCCUAAAUGGGAGAUAAACUUCUUCUAAGGCUAAAUAUCUAUGGGAAACCGAUAGCGAACAAGUACUGUGAAGGAAAGGUGAAAAGAACUUUGAAAAGAGGGUUAAAAGACUUGAAAUCGUUGAGAAGGAAGCAGUAAAAGUGGAUUUGAGUUAGCUAUGAAGUAAGCUAUGUGAGGACCGGCUUGAGGUGGCUGAUGUACGUCAUUGGCUAAGCUGCUUCAAAGUAACGGCACUCUAUGGUGAUUUCAUAGCUAAAGGGCAGAACCAGGUCUU
rnacentral:rRNA from 1 species